rnacentral:rRNA from 1 species
AAUUUUGGACAAUGGGGGAAACCCUGAUCCAGCCAUCCCGCGUGUGUGAUGAAGGCCUUCGGGUUGCAAAGCACUUUUGACAUGGAAGAAAUAUCAGGGGCUAAUAUCCUCUUUGAAUGACUGUACCUGUAGAAUAUGCACCGGCUAACUACUUGCCAGCUGCCUCGGUAAUACGUAGGGUGCAAGCGUUAAUUGGAAUUACUGGGCGUAAAGGGUACGCAGGCGGCUAGGAAAGAAAGAUGUGAAAUCCCAGGGCUCAACCUUGGAACUGCAUUUUUAACUACCUAGCUAGAGUAUGUCAGAGGGGGGUAGAAUUCCACGUGUAGCAGUGAAAUGCGUAGAGAUGUGGAGGAAUACCGAUGGCGAAGGCAGCCCCCUGGGAUAAUACUGACGCUCAGGUACGAAAGCGUGGGGAGCAAACA